GAUUCAAGUUGGGCAAUUGCUACUCAGGGAGUAUUACCUUGAGUAGAGGAAAGUCCGAACUCCGUAGAACAUGGUGCCGGGUAACACCCGGGAUCCCGAAUUUAUCGGGAUACGGAAAGUGCCACAGAAAACAUACCGUCCCACUUUAAACUGGGAUAAGGGUGAAAAGGCAGGGUAAGAGCCUACCGCUCUGGUAGUAAUACCAGAGGUCCUUUUAAAAGGAACUUCGAAGAAUUUCGGAGUCUAGGCAAACCCCACCUGGAGCAAGGUCGAGCAGAAGGGCACUCGGUAUCCCCGAACGAAGUUGUUCGCUUCGAGCCCCCUUCGGGUAGACCGCUCGAUUCCGAUAGCGAUAUCGGAACAAGAUAAAUAAUUGCCGCCUCGAAUAUUCGGGGUUACAGAAUUCGGCUUAUAGAUUUGAAUUAUCA
rnacentral:RNase_P_RNA from 2 species